CCGCAGGCCCGCCCACUCCUCGCUUCUCCACUUCCCUUCUCGAAGUGUCCGGUCGCUUCUCGCAGGCGGCGCGCUUGCUGGGUCACAGUGAGGCGGCUCCGCGCAGGCGCAGCCGGGCGGGCGAGGAGCGGGGAAGCUGACUCAGGGCUGCGGCCGGGGUCCUGCGGGGUAGGAGCGCGAGGCCGGCCUGAGGGAGGAGGCCUAGCGACCCAUCCGGCGCCUCCCGCCCCGGGCACCCGCCCGCGGCCGCGCAUCCUGCGGGCCCCAGGAGGCCUCCAUCUCAAAACAACGUGUUUUUAGGUAAUUUCAAACUUAGGGAAAAGCUUCAAGAAUAAUACCGAAAAUGUCAGUGUCCCCAGCACCUAGAUCCCCCAGUUAAAUCCUUUUCCAUUUCACCGCGCUGCCCCCCGCCCCCUGGACGGUUAUGUGGCCGCGUGGGGUUGGCUCUGCCCAGGGCCGCGGUCACUGCACAGAACGCCCUGCACGUAAGGGGCUCCGCCUGGGUAAGACCCCGCCCAGCUGGGCAGGAGGAGGGCGUGGGCCCAGGACAUGGAGACCAGCCUGGGCAACAUAGCGAGACCCCAUCUCUGCAGAAAUAAAAUAUUAGCCGGACGGUGCACGGUGGCUCAGGCCUGUAAUCCCGGCACUUUGGGAGGCCGAGGUGGGAGGAUGGCCUGAGGUUAGUGUCUCACAUGUCUGUGUGAAGAGACCACCAAACAGGCUUUGUGUGAGCAACAAGGCUGUUUAUUUCACCCGGGUGCAGCCCGGCUGAGUCGGAAAAGAGAGUCAGCAAAGGGCGAUGGGAUUAUCAUUAGUUCUUACAGGUUUUGGGAUAGACGGUGGAGUUAGGAGCAAUGUUUUGCAGGCAGGUGGUGGAUCUCAUAAGGUACAUUCUCAAGGGUGGGGAGAAUUACAAAGAACCUUCUUAAGGGUAGAGGAGAUUACAAAGUACAUUGAUCAGUUAGGAUGGGGCAGAAACAAAUUACAAGGGUGGAAUGUCAUCAGUUAAGGCUGUUUUCACUUCUUUUGUGGAUCUUCAGUUGCUUCAGGCCAUCUGGAUGUAUACAUGCAGGUCACUGGGGAUAUGAUGGCUUAGCUUGGGCUCAGAGGCCUGACAGGAGUUCAAGACCAGCCUGGUGAACAUGACGAAACCCUGUCUCUACAAAAAUAAGAAAUGAACGCAGCAUGGUGGCAUGCACCUGCAGUCCCAGCCUCUUGGGAGGUGGAGGCAUAAGUCAGCUGUGAAUGCGCCCUGCACUAGAGCCUGGGCAGCAGAGCAGACCCUUCCUCAAACCCAAAAAGCGUCGUGCCAACCAGACCAGAUGGUCGCCUAAUCAAUAGAGACCAUGCCCAAUCAGGUAAGGACAGACACAACCAGGCAUGCUUUUUCUUGUUUUGUUUUUUGUUUGUUGUUUUGAGAUGGAGUUUCACUCUUGUUGCCCAGGCUGGAGUGCAGUGGUGUGAUCUCGGCUCACCGGAACCACCACCUCCUGGGUUCAAGCGAUUCUCCUGCCUCAGUCUCCCAAGUAGCUGGGAUUACAGGCAUGCACCACCAGGCCCGGCUAAUUUUGUAUUUUUAGUAGAGACGGGGGUUUCUCCAUAUUGGUCAGGCUGGUCUCAAACUCCCAACCUCAGGUGAUCUGCCUGCCUCGGCCUCCCAAAGUACUGGCAUUACAGGCGUGAGCCACUGCGCCCAGCUUGUUGUUUUUCUUUAGACAGUGUCUUCCUCUGUGGCUCAGGCUGAAGGGCACUGGGAUGAUCACAGCUCACUGCAGCCUCCACCUCCCAGGCUCAAGCCAUCCUUCUUCCUCAGGCUCCUGAGUAGCGGGAGCUACAGGCAUGCGCCAUCAUGCCUGGCUAAUUUUUGUAUUUUUUGUAGAUACGGGGUUUUGCUAUGUAGCCCAGGCUGGUCUUGAACUCCUGACCUCAGGUGAUCCCUCUGCCUCAGCUUCCCAAAGCGCUGGGAUUACAGAACAUGAGCCACUGUGCCCGGCUUAUUGUACAGUCUUUACUCUCGGUUUUCACCAGAGAACUCAAGGGCUGUGAAAAGAGCAGGACCUCACCAGCUGCACGGCGGUGGUGACUGGCUCCAUCUUGCUGUCCCUCCCAAUCACACAACAUCUCCCCUUGAAGGCUCUGCCCAGGCCCGGACUCCCACCUUUCAAGAUGUCUGGAUCAGUGCAGGACCUCCUCCUUGGCCACAUCGCUCUCCUUGGACUGGUUCAAGUGAUUCUCCCACCUCAGCCUCCCAAGUAGGAUUACAGGUACACACCACCACGCACAGCUAAUUGUUUUGUAUUUUAGGAAGAGAUGGGGUUUCAUCAUGUUAGCCAGGCUGGUCAGGUGAUCCAUCCGCCUUGGCCUCCCCAAGUGCUGGGAUUACAGGCGUGAGGCACUGUGCCCGGCCUGCCCCCCUUUUCUCUUGAUGUAAGUGGACAUUUUAAUCCAUAAUCUGUAACAUUUAUGUAUUAAGUUUACUACUAUCUUUGGUUUGCAGUGUUGACUCACCUGUGGAGUGGUCUGAGCCUGAAUGCCCGGGGCUGUGGCCACCGAGUGAACGGGCUGUGCUAAGGGGAAUUGCCACCUUGGGAAACCUGUGUAGUUGCGGCUUUUCUGAUUAAGUAUCAAUAAAAGUCUGACCUUGUGAAAAAAGCAAACGUGAGUGGCCCUGCUUAUGUUUCACCUUGCGUUGCUCAGUGAUAGUUCUGCAAAGUCGCAGGAAACCUGGAAUCAUCUAAUUAUCGUGAGUGUUGGUUCCUUAUUUAAUAAUGUCUAGUUGAUUCAUUAACAUGGAAUUCAUGGCCAGUACCUCUGUCACUCAUGCCUGACUGAAGUUGAUCAGCACGUCUUUUUCUCCCUUAGGCACAUGACAGCCUUCUUGCAAUCAAGAAACUACGUGUGGCCAGGAUCUCAUCCACUAUCACAGUUUCAGCUUUCCCCAAACUGGAAUGUGUCUUUGCAGACGCCCAUCCUUAUUAAAGGGCAAAGACUUCUCAUACACCUAGGAUGGAUCUUAUAUUCUUGGCGGGACUGCAGAGAAGGUGCCGUGUCCUGAGUCCUCAUGUCAGGGCACAGGCUUCCAGCCAGUUCUACCUGGGUUAUGUUUAUCUCAAUUCCCUGGUGGUAUUGGUGUCUGCUGGGUUUUGCCAGAAUGAAGACACCGUGUUUUCAUUUGUCAGUUGAUUCGUAUUUUCCAGGAAGACAUUCUGAGAUUACAGCAUUGUCUUAGUCAAGGUGCUGCAGAAGGACAGAACUAAUAGGAUAUAUGUACAUAUGAAAGAAAGUUUAUGAAGAACUGGCUCACACCAUCACAAGGCAAAGUCCCAUGACAGGCCAUCUGCAAGCUGAGGAGCGAGGAAGCCAGCAGUGGCUCAGCCGGAGUCCAACAGCCUCAAACGGAAUCCAACAGUUCAGGCUUCAGUCUGUGGCCAAAUGCCCAGAGACCCCGGAAAGCUACUGGUGUUAGUCCCAGAGCCGGAAGGCCAAAGAACCUGGAGUGUGAUGUCCAAGGGCAGGAGGAAUGGACAGAAGCAUCCAGCAUGGGGUAAAGACGAAAGCCAGAAGACUCAGCAAGCUAGCUUACCUACUUUCUUCUGCCUGCCUUGUUCUAGCCGCGCUGGCAGCCGGUUGGAGGGUGCCCACCCCCACUGAGGGUGGAUCUUCCUCUCCUAGUCCACUGACUCAAAUUUCAGUCUCUCUGGGAGCACCAUCACACCAGAAACAAUACCAGCCAUCUAGCCACCCUUCAGUUCACCAUCACAACCAUUGUCUUAUUCAUGAAACUUCUGCAGACCCACCUUAACCUCCAUCGGUGACUUCUACCUGAAGCCCUCUGAUUGUUGCCCAGUGGUGCUUUUUAAAAUAAUUUCCAUAGUUUCUUCUACACCUUUAGUUGGCAUUCUACUGUAAAGGAGAGAUUUUAUUUUCUUACUCAUUUAUUUGUUAGUUUAUAGUCACCACCAUAUGGAUGCAGAGUUCUGUCUCAUUCACUGGGAAGUAUUCUAUUGCAGUCAUGAUUUAUUUUGAUGUUCACAUCCCAGAGUUGGUGAGUGAGCGCCCCUUCACGCUGGCUCCCGAGUGCUGACGUGUCCCCGUCCUUCUCUGCACUUUUCCUUACCUCCUGGCCUCAGAUAUUCCAGGGUCAUUUGUUCUCUCCCUGCUCCAACCCUGCAGUCAGCCAUCUCCCUAGGGACGUUGGUUCCUUUAUGGAAGGUGGCAUUUAGAAGCCAGGAUUUGGGCUGAGCACUGUGGCUCAUGCUUGUAAUCCCAGCACUUGGGGAGGCCGAAGUGGGCGGAUCGCUGGAGGCCAAGAGUCUGAGACCAGCCUGGCUAACAUGGUGAAACCCUUCCCCGUCUCUACUACAAAUAAAAAAUUAGCUGGGUGUGUUGGCACGUGCCUGUAAUCCCAGUUACUCAGGAGGCUGAAGCACCAGAAUCUCUUGAACCCAGGAGGCCGAGGUUGCAGUGAGCCAAGAUUGCACCACUGCACUACAGCUUGGGUGACAGCGCGAGACACCGUCUCAAAAAGGAUAAUAAUUUAAAAAACAGCAGGAUUUGGGUGAGCAGUGCGCUCAUUGCUUCUGGGCUCUCUCGGUGGACAUAGGCUAGGAAUGUAAGAUGUAUGUGCCUGUGUAUAUACACACGUCUGUAGCUAUGUCUAUGUUGCAU
rnacentral:lncRNA from 1 species